rnacentral:rRNA from 1 species
CAACUUGAGAGUUUGAUCCUGGCUCAGAACGAACGCUGGCGGCAGGCUUAACACAUGCAAGUCGAACGCUGUAGCAAUACGAGUGGCNGACGGGUGAGUAACGCGUGGGAACGUACUUUCGGUUCGGAAUAACUCAGGGAAACUNNAGCUAAUACCGGAUACGCCUAUCGGGGGAAAGAUUUAUUCGCGAAAGAUCGGCCCGCGUCCGAUUAGCUAGUUGGUGAGGUAAUGGCUCACCAAGGCGACGAUCGGNAGCUGGUCUGAGAGGAUGAUCAGCCACACUGGGACUGAGACACGGCCCAUGCUCGUGCGGGAGGCAGCAGUGGGGAAUAUUGGACGAUGGGCGCAAGCCUNAUCCAGCCAUGCCGCGUGAGUGAUGAAGGCCUUAGGGUUGUAAAGCUCUUUCGCGAGGGACGAUAAUGACGGUACCUGGAUAAGAACCCCGGCUNACUUCGUGCCAGCUGCCGCGGUAAUACGAAGGGGGCAAGCAUAGUUCGGAAUCGCUGGGCGUAAAGCGCACGUAGGCGNAUCUUUAAGUCAGGGGUGAAAUCCGAGGCUCAACCUCGGNACUGCCUUUGAUACUGGGUGUYUAGAGUUGAGUAUGCUAGAUCUGAGNNGAUCNAGGACUGUAGUGUAGAAUGAUCUAGAUAUUCGCAAGAACAGCAGUGCGAAGGCGNCUACUGCNNCUGACGCUGAGGUCNNACGUGGGGAGCAAACAGGAUUAGAUACCCUNGUAGUCCACGCCGUAAACGAUGGAUGCUAGCCGUUGGGCACUUGCUGUUCAGUGGCGCACUAACGCUUUAAGCAUCCGCCUGGGGAGUACGGUCGCAAGAUUAAAACACNAGGGAAUGGACUGGGGCGGCGUGCAGCNGUGCAGCUGUNGUNNNAUMCGANNNCCGCGCAGAACCUUACCAGCUUUUGACAUUCUAGUAUGGUCGACAGAGAUGUCUUCCUUCCGCAAGGGGCUAGAACACAGGURCUGCAUNGCUNCGUCAGCHCGUAUCGUGAGAUGUUGGGUUAAGUCCNCAACGAGCGCAACCUCACCCUUAGUUGCCAUCAUUCAGUUGGGCACUCUAGGNNAACUGCGGUGAUAAGCCGAGAGGAAGGUGGGGAUGACGUCAAGUCCUCAUGGCGCUUACAGGCUGGGCUACACACGUGCUACAAUGGCGGUGACAAUGGGAUGCGAAGGGGCGACCCGGAGCAAAUCUCCAAAAAGCGUCUCAGUUCGGAUUGCACUCUGCAACUCGAGUGCAUGAAGGUGGAAUCGCUAGUAAUCGCAGAUCAGCACGCUGCGGUGAAUACGUUC